AGCCACCAGGUGCCUGACGAGGGCAGCCAUUUUGGAGGCAAGGGCUGCCUAUAUAAACAGGGCAGUUUGGCUUCUGGAGGCUAGGCAGCAACAUUGCCUGGCUGGAGGGCUGCUAAGAACAAUCUGGAAGUAAGGGAGGAGCUGAAGAGGAUGAACCACAACAAAUAGUUCAGGUGGAUGCUGCCUGCGAGACCCACCCCCCAGGAUGUGCAGCAUCCCUGGUGAUAUAUAGGACACUUUGAAGAUCUGAAAUUGAAAAUUUUCAGCAUUAAAGAAAGCAUAAAUCAAUACCCACCCAUUAGAAGCAACUUGUUUCAUUAAAUAGGACUGUACCUUUUUCUAUUUUCCUAUUUUUCUGUUAUUUUAACAAUUUUUGAAAUUUUCUUUAAUCUAUCAUUUUAAAUGAUUUAAAUGAUUCAUUAUAAUUUAUAAUAACUCUAUAAUUUUUAAUUUUUUAAUAGACAAAUAUUGUAAUUGCACCUCAUUUUCAAAAUAAAGA